GGUCCCAUGGUCAAGCGGUUAAGACACCACCCUUUCACGGUGGGAUCAGGGGUUCGAUUCCCCUUGGGACUACCA
rnacentral:tRNA from 1 species